AUGGAGUCGGAUCUGCUCAUCAGGCGGGAGGAAAUUGGGCCCAAAAGAGAAUAUGAUUUUCGCAGCAGGUGUAGCGAGAUAUUUAUGUGGGGUGUCUUUGAUCCCGACGAAUUACUGCCAAAGCGGCCAGCAGUGAAAGGCAAAUUGGAUGAGCAAAAAAUCAAUGGUCGACCAAAGGAGGUAAAGAAUCAAGAUCAACAAAAAGCACCAAUAAUGAAAAUUGGCAUGUCUUCCAUUUACCUUACGACACGUUGGAGGGCUCCAGAUUCGGACGCGUGCUACAUCUGUGGACAGGACGGUCACCAUGAGCAGUUUUGCCAUUACAAUUAUAUCUAUGGGCGAUAUGGGUUAUAUGACCAACACACUUGUAGAGCAAACUGCCUUCCUGGACAACACACAAUGGCCAUGGCUUGUCGAAACCUUUUGCGGAGUUUCAUACGCGUGAAUAACAUGCCAUCGCAAUUCUGUACAUGGGACCUUCGGAAGCUCUUGGAACCAUUUGGACCGCUGCUGAUGUGCCAUGUUCCAAUGGGCAGUUCUGAAGUGCGCAGGGGAUAUGGCGUUGUUAUCUUCAAGGAUCGUGGGGAUGGGGAGAGGGCAAUCGAAGUGCUCAAUGGCUAUCUCGUAGGCAAGAGUAAACUGCGAGUUGACUGGGCUUAUGCAAUGGCCCCUGGUGGUAGACCAAGUGAGAAAUGCAAGAUCUCGACGACAAAGAGGGUUUUCAAGAGGCGAGCUCUGCUGCAAGGGGCCGGAAAGCAGCGAGCUCGUGGUUUUCUCUUCCCCAAGUUUUGGAGGUUCUACCCCUCCCGUAAUACGCUCUUGCUUCGGCGGAGGAAGAGUAACAAGACAGUGCCGAUCAAUGAGGCAGGGGAGGAACGAAAAGAAACCAAUAUGAAAAGUAGUGGUGCCAUCAAAACCUCCUGGAGGGAUCCAGACGCUAAAUCCUGCUGGAUGUGCGGGGACGAGGAGUGA
rnacentral:rRNA from 1 species